rnacentral:rRNA from 1 species
GGUCAAGCUAAUAAGGGCUUGCGGCGGAUGCCUUGGCGUCAAGGGCCGAAGAAGGGCGUAGCAAGACUGCGAUAAGCCUCGGUGAGCCGUCUAGCUGGCAUAGCCGGGGAUUCCCGAAUGGGGGAACCCCUCCGACUAAAUGUCGGAGACCCCUACCUCAACCCUUAGGGUAGGGGGGGUAAGCAGGGGAACUGAAACAUCUAAGUACCCUGAGGAAAAGUAAUCAACCGAGAUUCCCUUAGUAGUGGCGAACGAACGGGGAAGAGCCCAAACCUGAGAGGCUUCACGGCCUGGGAGCCCAUGUCUCUUGGGGGUUGUAAGGCGCGUCUGUUCCGAUCCCAGUAGGAACAAGGAGUAAGAAACCUCUGACCUAGCUGAAGGUCCCUGGAAAGGGCCGUCAUAGAGGGUGAUAGCCCCGUAGGCGAAAAGAAAGAGACUCUCGGUGUGACCUUGAGUACCACGGGACACGGGAAAUCCCGUGGGAAGCAGGGGGGACCACCCUCCAAGGCAAAAUACCCUUGGCGACCGAUAGUGAACAAGUACCGUGAGGGAAAGGUGAAAAGCACCCCAGACGGGGAGUGAAAUAGAUCUGAAACCGCAAGCCUACAGACCGUCGGAGGUUCAAUUCGUUGGACUGACGGCGUGCCUAUUGAAGAAUGAGCCGGCGAGUUGCUGGGCGUGGCGAGGUUAACUCCGUUGUCGGAGGGAGCCGUAGCGAAAGCGAGUCCGAAUAGGGCGUCCAGUCGCGUUCAGCAGACCCGAAACCGGGUGAGCUACCCAUGGUCAGAGUGAAGCCCCGAUAAUCUCGGGGUGAAGGCUCGAACCCGUUGAUGUUGCAAAAUCAUGGGAUGAGCUGUGGGUAGAGGUGAAAUGCCAAUCGAACCCGGAGAUAGCUGGUUCUCCCCGAAAUGCAUUUAGGUGCAGCCUCGAAUGAUAACUUGGGGAGGUAGGGCACUGGAUGGAUAAGGGGGCGUGAG